GGGAGCUUAGAUGUGGAAGCUCUUUGGAAACCAAGAAACACUCUGAAAAUGAAAAGGGUGGAAGAGUAAACUGUUCCUGUUUCUCCAUCUUGACAGGAAGCAGAAGUUCUCCUUAGCUGAUUUUUCUUCUUGCCUUAUACUGGGUUCUUUAACACCAGAACAAAAAUAAAUAAAUAAAAGAAUCUUCCAGAAAUUCAUGAAGAGACUUCAGGUCAGGAAAGCCUGAACUUUCUCAUCCAACACCCGUUCAAGUCGGAGGAUGCUGAUUAAUUCAUGAUGGAAAGGUAUCAAUUUCACAGCCCAGACCUCUACAUUCUUGAAAUGCUCUUCUCAUGGGAGACAUUAAAUAAGCUUUGAAUUAACUGAAGAACCAAUGAUGUGAUCCCUGGAUACUGGCAAUUGUUGCCCAAGAAAACCUCUCCCCUUGCUGUGGGACUGCUGGGCACCCAAAUAAUGCACCCAAAUAAUUUGAUAGCUCUUGUUACACAGCUCUUCUUGGACUAAAAGGCCCUCAGCAUUCCUGUCAAUUUCUACACUCCUGAAGCUUCAUCUGUGCCAUGACACCCAGGAUGCAGCUGUAGGAACACCACUGGGUCCCUGGAUGUCAUGUAAGCCCUUAAGUAAAAGUGCCAUCAAAUGAUUUCUCAGAAAUUAUAAAGAAACAAAAGGACCAUAAACAAGAUAAGGUGGCAUGAGGAAACAUUACAAGUACCUUUCAGAGCUGACUGGCAAAGAAACUCCUGAGGUGACGGUUCUACCCCAAUAUUACUUCUUCGAAGAGCAACCUAACUGGACUUAUCUUCCUCAGUUCUCUGUGAUGAACUUUUGUAGAGCCAUACGAAAGGAGGUUUUUAGCUCUCACCUGUGGUCUUUCUUCAUCAUGCACCUCCUAGAUUCAAAAGUUCAGCAGGGACAUGUCAAGCUAUAUAAAU
rnacentral:lncRNA from 10 species